CCUACGGGAGGCAGCAGUGAGGAAUAUUGGUCAAUGGGCGCGAGCCUGAACCAGCCAAGUAGCGUGAAGGAUGACUGCCCUACGGGUUGUAAACUUCUUUUAUCAAGGAAUAAAGUGAGGCACGUGUGCCUGUUUGUAUGUUCUUUAUGAAUAAGGAUCGGCUGACCCCGGUCCAGCCGCCGCGGUAAUACGGCGGAUCCGAGCGUUUUUCGGAUUUUUUGGGUUUAAAGGGAGCGUAGAUGGGUUGUUAAGUCAGUUGUGAAAGUUUGCGGCUCAAACGUAGAAUUGCAAUUGAUACUGGCAGUCUUGAGUAGAGUUGAGGUAGGCGGAAUUCGUGGUGUAGCGGUGAAAUGCUUAGAUAUCACGAAGAACUCCGAUUGCGAAGGCAGCUUACUAAACUGCCACUGACAUUGAGGCACGAAAGUGUGGGUAUCAAACAGGAUUAGAUACCCUUGUAGUC
rnacentral:rRNA from 1 species